rnacentral:rRNA from 1 species
GAUGAACGCUGGCGGCGUGCCUAAUACAUGCGAGUCGAGCGAACAGACGAGGAGCUUGCUCCUCUGACGUUAGCGGCGGACGGGUGAGUAACACGUGGAUAACCUACCUAUAAGACUGGGAUAACUUCGGGAAACCGGAGCUAAUACCGGAUAAUAUAUUGAACCGCAUGGUUCAAUAGUGAAAGACGGUUUUGCUGUCACUUAUAGAUGGAUCCGCGCCGCAUUAGCUAGUUGGUAAGGUAACGGCUUACCAAGGCAACGAUGCGUAGCCGACCUGAGAGGGUGAUCGGCCACACUGGAACUGAGACACGGUCCAGACUCCUACGGGAGGCAGCAGUAGGGAAUCUUCCGCAAUGGGCGAAAGCUUGACGGAGCAACGCCGCGUGAGUGAUGAAGGUCUUCGGAUCGUAAAACUCUGUUAUUAGGGAAGAACAAAUGUGUAAGUAACUAUGCACGUCCUGACGGUACCUAAUCAGAAAGCCACGGCUAACUACGUG